rnacentral:rRNA from 1 species
AUGAGCUCAAAUUUGAAAUCUGGCUGGUUUACUAGUCCGAGUUGUAAUUUAAAGAAGCGUUUUCGGUGGCAGCCUGGGUAUAAAUCCUUUGGAAUAGGGUAUCAUAGAGGGUGAGAAUCCCGUCUUUGACCUAGUGCAUGCUACUAUGUGAUACGUUUUCAAAGAGUCGAGUUGUUUGGGAAUGCAGCUCAAAAUGGGUGGUAAAUUUCAUCUAAAGCUAAAUAUUGGCGAGAGACCGAUAGCGAACAAGUACCGUGAGGGAAAGAUGAAAAGAACUUUGAAAAGAGAGUUAAACAGUGCGUGAAAUUGUUGAAAGGGAAACGUUUGACACCAGUCAUGUGGGUGGAAAAUCAGUCUUUUGCAUUGGGGAGUUGUAAGGGUUCGGACCGCAAGGCCGGCUUUUGCUUCAUCUUUGGUGUAAGUGAUGCACUUUUUCAUCUACAGGUCAACAUCAGUUUCUUUUGCUGGACAAAACUCCGAGAGAAGGUAGCAGCUUAGGCUGUGUUAUAGCUCUGGAGCGAUACAGUGAAGGGGACUGAGGUUUUCGCAGCGUGUGCUCUCGGGCAAGGCUGGAUGGGUGCUAUGGGAUCGUUCGGGGU